rnacentral:rRNA from 1 species
AUUGUCGUAAGACAGUGGUAGGGGAGCGUUCCAUGUGGGGUGAAGUCGUAGCGGAAGCAGCGGUGGACUGCAUGGAAGUGAGAAUGCCGGAAUGAGUAGCGAGAAUUAUGUGGGAAUCAUAAUGGCCGAAAAUCUAAGGUUUCUUGGGGAAGGUUCGUCCGCCCAAGGUUAGUCGGGAGCUAAGCUCAGGCCGAAAGGCGUAGGCGAUGCACAUACGGUAGAAAUUCCGUAACCACCGAACAUUUAAGCUAGAGGGACGCUUUCUUUAAGGUUAUCCCGGGCGAUGGUUGCCCCGGGCGUAAGGGACCGAAAUAUAGUAGGGAAGUAACUGGCGAGAGAGACGAGAAAAGCUCUAGUGUAUACUAAGGUGCCCGUACCGCAAACCGACACAGGUAGAUGGGAUGAGUAUUCUAAGGCCAACGGGAGAAGGGUUGUUAAGGAACUCGGCAAAUUGGCCCCGUAACUUCGGGAUAAGGGGCGCCUGCGAGAGCAGGCCGCAGUGAAAAGGCCCAAGCGACUGUUUAGCAAAAACACAGCUCUCUGCUAAAUCGAAAGAUGACGUAUAGGGGGUGACGCCUGCCCGGUGCUGGAAGGUUAAGGGGAGUGCUUAGCGCAAGCGAAGGUGCGAACUUAAGCCCCAGUAAACGGCGGCCGUAACUAUAACGGUCCUAAGGUAGCGAAAUUCCUUGUCAGGUAAGUUCUGACCCGCACGAAUGGCGUAAUGACUUGGGCACUGUCUCAACUGCAAAUCCGGCGAAGUUGUAGUGCGAGUGAAGAUGCUCGCUACCCGCGAUUGGACGGAAAGACCCCGUAGAGCUUUACUGUAGCUUAGCAUUGAGUUUCGAUAUUGUCUGUACAGGAUAGGUGGGAGACUGAGAAGCUAGGGCGUCAGCCUUAGUGGAGUCAACCUUGGGAUACCACCCUGACAGUAUUGGGAUUCUAACCGGACGCCAUGAAUCUGGUGACGGGACAUUGUUAGGUGGGCAGUUUGACUGGGGCGGUCGCCUCCUAAAAAGUAACGGAGGCGCCCAAAGGUUCCCUCAGAACGGUCGGAAAUCGUUCGAAGAGUGCAAAGGCAGAAGGGAGCCUGACUGCGACACCCACAAGUGGAGCAGGGACGAAAGUCGGGCUUAGUGAUCCGGUGGUACCUCGUGGGAGGGCCAUCGCUCAACGGAUAAAAGCUACCUCGGGGAUAACAGGCUGAUCUCCCCCAAGAGUCCACAUCGACGGGGAGGUUUGGCACCUCGAUGUCGGCUCGUCGCAUCCUGGGGCUGAAGCAGGUCCCAAGGGUUUGGCUGUUCGCCAAUUAAAGCGGCACGCGAGCUGGGUUCAGAACGUCGUGAGACAGUUCGGUCCCUAUCCAUCGUGGGCGUAGGAGUCAUGAGAGGAGCUGUUCCUAGUACGAGAGGACCGGAAUGGACGCACCACUGGUGCAACUGUUGUCGUGCCAACGGCAUAGCAGGGAAGCGAAGUGCGGAUGGGAUAAACGCUGAAGGCAUCUAAGCGUGAAGCCCACCUCAAGAAUAAGACUCCACAAUAGACCCCUGGAGGACUACCAGGUAGAUAGGUCAUCGGUGGAAGCGCCGUAAGGUGUGUAGCUUGAUGAUACUAAUCGGUCGAAAGCUUCAUUU